GGCAAAAACUGGUUGAAACUGGUAAUGAAUAAAAGCUAGUUGGCUGUAACCAUGGACACAAAUACAAUCUGGUCAUGCCAAUUUUGUGAAAAACCCGGCCCCACUGCGGAGAAAACCCUGCUGGAAUAACCUGGAAAUGGACGCGAUACAAUCUCCUUAUUCUCUUCUCUUAUAUCUUGAAUAUUGACGCAUAAAAUAUAUCAGCCCAUAGCUCCAGAACGUGAAAUUCACGUGCGCGGAAACGAAAAGAAAUAUCGUUGUCACUUCAAUCUACUUUGCAUGCACCGUGUAAAAAUGGAAUCAUUUCCAUCCGAAUGUUCAACCAAUAAGAAACAUCUCAACACUUUUAAUUAUUUGUGAAUCUUGUCUGCAACAUAAAAGGAUGAAGGUCUUGUCUCUUGUUUUGUCGAUUUUCCUCCUCAUUUCGGCCAUGGCGAUGACGACCGUGUCCGCUCGUCACUGGAAGGUGGGCGACAACGGAAUAAGUCGCAGGGACAACAAUUGCCGUUAUGUUGGCGAUUACAUCGGACUCCACAAACCCAGUAUCAGCGAGCAAUGUGGAGGAUUCUGCCUCAACAACUCUGAAUGCACUCACUUCACUUAUGGAGAAGAUGGCUGAUGUUUCAUGUAUAACGCUCCCAACGGAAAGGAUACUGGCCAUGACUGGGCACCAAAAUGGACUUGUGGUUACAUUCACCAUCGUAUCAAUUGGUGACGAUAAGCAGCUCAACUAUACAACGCAUGUGUGGAACCGCUGUUUUGAAAACGACGAAAAUCAUGCUCGGACAAAACUGGACACGACGAUGUAUUCUGUAAUUGAUUCCCUCAACAACAA